rnacentral:rRNA from 1 species
GACGAACGCUGGCGGCGUGCCUAAUACAUGCAAGUCGAACGCUUUUUCUUUCACCGGAGCUUGCUCCACCGAAAGAAAAAGAGUGGCGAACGGGUGAGUAACACGUGGGUAACCUGCCCAUCAGAAGGGGAUAACACUUGGAAACAGGUGCUAAUACCGUAUAACACUAUUUUCCGCAUGGAAGAAAGUUGAAAGGCGCUUUUGCGUCACUGAUGGAUGGACCCGCGGUGCAUUAGCUAGUUGGUGAGGUAACGGCUCACCAAGGCAACGAUGCAUAGCCGACCUGAGCGGGUGAGCGGCCACACUGGGACUGAGACACGGCCCAGACUCCUACGGGAGGCAGCAGUAGGGAAUCGUCGGCAAUGGACGAAAGUCUGACCGAGCAACGCCGCGUGAGUGAAGAAGGUUUUCGGAUCGUAAAACUCUGUUGUUAGAGAAGAACAAGGAUGAGAGUAAAAUGUUCAUCCCUUGACGGUAUCUAACCAGAAAGCCACGGCUAACUACGUGCCAGCAGCCGCCGUAA